rfam:Avibacterium paragallinarum JF4211, WGS project CBMK01000000 data, contig: 28-16-65-23
GGUCGAGAGUGCGAGGAAUACAAUACCGCAAGGGAAUAACUCCGCUGUUUACUGUACAGUUUUUGGCUCUCGACCGCCCUACC